rnacentral:rRNA from 1 species
CCUACGGGUGACAGCAGUGAGGAAUAUUGGUCAAUGGCCGGAAGGCUGAACCAGCCAUGCCGCGUGAAGGUCAGUGCCCUAUGGGCGUUAAACUUCUUUUGUGCGGGAGCAAUAAUGGUCACGUGUGGCCAGACGAGAGUACCGUACGAAUAAGCAUCGGCUAACUCCGUGCCAGCAGCCGCGGUAAUACGGGGGAUGCAAGCGUUAUCCGGAUUUAUUGGGGUAAAAGGGUGCGUAGGCUGUGAGGUAAGUCAGCGGUGAAAUGCCCCCGCUCAACGGGGUGAAGUGCCAUUGAUACUGCCUUGCUGGAAUGCGGAUGCCGUGGGAGGAAUGUGUGGUGUAGCGGUGAAAUGCAUAGAUAUCACACAGAACACCGAUUGCGAAGGCAUCUCACGAAUCCGCGAUUGACGCUGAUGCACGAAAGCGUGGGUAUCAAACAGGAUUAGAUACCCCUGUC